rnacentral:rRNA from 1 species
UCGUAGGUGACCUGCGGAAGGAUCAUUACCGAGUGAGGGCCCUCUGGGUCCAACCUCCCACCCGUGUUUAUUUUACCUUGUUGCUUCGGCGAGCCUGCCUUUUGGCUGCCGGGGGACAUCUGUCCCCGGGUCCGCGCUCGCCGAAGACACCUUAGAACUCUGUCUGAAGAUUGUAGUCUGAGAUUAAAUAUAAAUUAUUUAAAACUUUCAACAACGGAUCUCUUGGUUCCGGCAUCGAUGAAGAACGCAGCGAAAUGCGAUACGUAAUGUGAAUUGCAGAAUUCAGUGAAUCAUCGAGUCUUUGAACGCACAUUGCGCCCUCUGGUAUUCCGGAGGGCAUGCCUGUCCGAGCGUCAUUGCUGCCCUCAAGCACGGCUUGUGUGUUGGGCUCCGUCCUCCUUCUGGGGGACGGGCCCGAAAGGCAGCGGCGGCACCGCGUCCGGUCCUCAAGCGUAUGGGGCUUUGUCACCCGCUUUGUAGGACUGGCCGGCGCCUGCCGAUCAACCAAACUUUUUUCCAGGUUGACCUCGGAUCAGGUAGGGAUACCCGCUGAACUUAAGCAUAUCAAUAAGCGGAGGAAAAGAAACCAACAGGGAUUGCCCCAGUAACGGCGAGUGAAGCGGCAAGAGCUCAAAUUUGAAAGCUGGCUCCUUCGGGGUCCGCAUUGUAAUUUGCAGAGGAUGCUUCGGGAGCGGUCCCCAUCUAAGUGCCCUGGAACGGGACGUCAUAGAGGGUGAGAAUCCCGUAUGGGAUGGGGUGUCCGCGCCCGUGUGAAGCUCCUUCGACGAGUCGAGUUGUUUGGGAAUGCAGCUCUAAAUGGGUGGUAAAUUUCAUCUAAAGCUAAAUAUUGGCCGGAGACCGAUAGCGCACAAGUAGAGUGAUCGAAAGAUGAAAAGCACUUUGAAAAGAGAGUUAAAAAGCACGUGAAAUUGUUGAAAGGGAAGCGCUUGCGACCAGACUCGCUCGCGGGGUUCAGCCGGCAUUCGUGCCGGUGUACUUCCCCGCGAGCGGGCCAGCGUCGGUUUGGGCGGUCGGUCAAAGGCCCCUGGAAGGUAACGCCCCCUCGGGGGCGUCUUAUAGCCAGGGGUGCAAUGCGGCCUGCCCGGACCGAGGAACGCGCUCGGCUCGACGCCGCGCAAAUUACCCAAUCCCGACACGG